UACGUAGGUGGCAAGCGUUAUCCGGAAUUAUUGGGCGUAAAGCGCGCGCAGGUGGUUUCUUAAGUCUGAUGUGAAAGCCCACGGCUCAACCGUGGAGGGUCAUUGGAAACUGGGAGACUUGAGUGCAGAAGAGGAAAGUGGAAUUCCAUGUGUAGCGGUGAAAUGUGUAGAGAUAUGGAGGAACACCAGUGGCGAAGGCGACUUUCUGGUCUGUAACUGACACUGAGGCGCGAAAGCGUGGGGAGCAAACUGGAUUAGAUACCCCAGUAGUCC
rnacentral:rRNA from 1 species